rnacentral:rRNA from 1 species
AUCCUGGCUCAGGAUGAACGCUAGCGGCAGGCUUAAUACAUGCAAGUCGUGGGGCAGCAGGUUUGUAGCAAUACAGAUGCUGGCGACCGGCAAACGGGUGCGGAACACGUACAGAACCUUCCUUUGAGCGGGGAAUAGCCCAGAGAAAUUUGGAUUAAUACCCCAUAGUAUAAUGAAGUGGCAUCACUUUAUUAUUAAAGAUUCAUCACUCGAAGAUGGCUGUGCGGCUGAUUAGGUAGUUGGCGGGGUAAAGGCCCACCAAGCCUGCGAUCAGUAACUGGUGUGAGAGCACGACCAGUCACACGGGCACUGAGACACGGGCCCGACUCCUACGGGAGGCAGCAGUAAGGAAUAUUGGUCAAUGGAGGCAACUCUGAACCAGCCAUGCCGCGUGGAGGAUGAAGGUCCUCUGGAUUGUAGACUCCUUUUAUAUGGGACGAAAAAAGGCUUUUCUAAGUCGUCUGACGGUACCAUAUGAAUAAGCACCGGCUAACUCCGUG